rnacentral:rRNA from 1 species
AUACGUAGGUGACAAGCGUUAUCCGGAUUUACUGGGCGUAAAGGGCGUGUAGGCGGUCUUGCAAGUCAGAAGUGAAAUUCCUGAGCUCAACUCGGGCGCUGCUUCUGAAACUGCAGGACUUGAGUGCUGGAGGGGAUAGCGGAAUUCCUAGUGGAGCGGUAAAAUGCGCAGAUAUUAGGAAGAACACCGGUGGCGAAGGCGGCUAUCUGUACAGUAAAUGACGCUGAGGCGCAAAAGCUUGGGGAGCAAACAAGAUGUAAUACCCUGGUAUUCCACGCCGUAAACUAUGAAUACUAGGUGGAGGGGGUAUCGACUCCCUCUGUGCCGCAGUUAACACAAUAAGUAUUCCGCCUGGGGAGUACGGCCGCAAGGUUGAAACUCAAAUGAAUUGACGGGG